AUUGAACGCUGGCGGCAGGCCUAACACAUGCAAGUCGAGCGGAUGAAGGGAGCUUGCUCCUGGAUUCAGCGGCGGACGGGUGAGUAAUGCCUAGGAAUCUGCCUGGUAGUGGGGGAUAACGUCCGGAAACGGGCGCUAAUACCGCAUACGUCCUGAGGGAGAAAGUGGGGGAUCUUCGGACCUCACGCUAUCAGAUGAGCCUAGGUCGGAUUAGCUAGUUGGUGGGGUAAAGGCCUACCAAGGCGACGAUCCGUAACUGGUCUGAGAGGAUGAUCAGUCACACUGGAACUGAGACACGGUCCAGACUCCUACGGGAGGCAGCAGUGGGGAAUAUUGGACAAUGGGCGAAAGCCUGAUCCAGCAAUGCCGCGUGUGUGAAGAAGGUCUUCGGAUUGUAAAGCACUUUAAGUUGGGAGGAAGGGCAGUAAGUUAAUCCCUUGCUGUUUUGACGUUACCAACAGAAUAAGCACCGGCUAACUUCGUG
rnacentral:rRNA from 1 species